rnacentral:rRNA from 1 species
GUCAGAAUAGUUUCCAGCCUUGCUGAUGUUGACGCUGCGCUUCAAGAUUUGGGCAUCACUGAGGUGAAUCAAGCUAAUCAGGUUCGAUUUCAACUGGAUGAGCGAGCCCCCCUUCAAGAUGCAGCAGAGAUCGGUGUAAGGACCCGUCCAGGAAGGCAUGGAUUCAUACUUGUUAAUCCAGAGUUGUUGGAGUGCAAGUCUAAGACCAAGGGGGCAUUAGAGAGGUCCUUCAACAUCAUGAUUAACGAAGCCCUGGAGCGGAUUGAUCAAGAGAUGUUGGGAGUUGACGCAAGCAUCUCAGAACUGAAGGUCCUUGUGCUCAAGAAUGACAAUCAGAUGCCACAUAAUGGACCUCCACUUGUCAAAAGAAAUCGGGGAGUACAACAUGUCAUCUAUCCACACCCUCCUUUCCCAGAAGAUCCUAGCUUUGAGCAUGGCACACCCCGAGAGAGAGUCCCAUAUCAACCUGCUUAUGGUACACAACAAGAGAGGGAUGAGGCAGCUGCUCGUGACAGGCGUGCCCAGAGGGCCCUCUGGCAUGCCAAACUCUGUAUUUUGGAGGCGAGGCAGUCCAUCUUGAAGGACAAGAGGUCUGAGAUGAUGUCAAAGAUGAGGGUGGAGUUCAACAGGAUUAUGGAGGAACCAUCUGACUUAGGGGCUGGUUACGCGGCCUAUGAAUUUCCUCCAUUGGCGUAG